GCCAUAUCCACUGCUUCUGAAAAGAAAGUUCUUUCAAUGACAAUAGACAGUACGAAGUCAUUUAACAACUGCAUAAUCAUCGCCCAAGAAAUUUUACAUGACAGCUGGUGUUCCAACAUGGGUGCAUCCCUAAAGGUAGCCAACGGCUUCAACGUGAGAAUCUAGGUGAGACACUAGAUGAGUAAGAGAAUCUAGGGAGCAUUUCUAGUAAGACACACAGAUGCUGCACAGUGAAGCACUUGUCUUCCCCAUUGGACUGGCCAUUGAAGUCACUGACUGCCCUGCUAUCUACAAUGCCCUGUGAGUUCUCUCCUCAUGUGUUCUAACCACAGAGCUUAUCAGCCCAAGCCUAUUCUAACCACUUCUACUUUGUUCUCACUCCUGGAGGCAGGUUAAACUUUGGGACCAGAUAGAUUUAAAUUUGAGUUGUGUGAUUGGUUUCACUCCUACUCUUGUGGCUGGAGGAUGGCUAGACCCUGUGACUGAGUGAGAUGGGGGUGGGAGGAUGGAGUGGUUUCUCUCUAACAAAGGGUUGUGAGCAGAUAAAUACAAAAGUCCAUUUUGCAUUAGGUUGGAGGGAGAAGGUUAGUGAGUCUGAGAUGAAGAGUGGGUGGGGUGAGGACCAAAUUAGUUUACAGGGGGAUUCCCAAGACAGGACUGGUAGUGUAGCAAAGGUGGUGAGAAGAUGCUAGUGAUGAAAACCAGUUCAGGGUCUGCUACAGUUGGAAGGUGUCUUCCAAAGGUCAUGGGUUGGAAACUAGAGGCGUAUGUUAAUUGUGUUUGAGAGGUGGGAUUUCUGGGAGGUGAAUGGGUCAUGAGGGCUCUGCCAUGGAGAUUAAUCCAUUUGUGGAUUAAUGGAUUAGUGGAUUAAUGGAUUAUUGUAGAUGUGGCUUGCUUGCUCUGUCUUGCUAUGUGAUGCCAUGCGCCACCUGGGAACUCUAGAGAGUCCCCAUCAGUAAGGGCUUAAAAAGAUGUGGCCCCCUUGACCUCAAACUUCCCAACCUCCAGAACUAUAAUACAUAAUUUUAUUAUUUAAAUAAGUACAAAUGAUUUUUUCCUUCUCUAUAAGUUAUGCAUUCUCAGGUAUCCAGUUAUAGCAACAUGCUAAGACAAGGAUUAACUUUACAAACACCACUGAGCCCAGUGGCAUUCCUAUUGUGCUUAGCCGGAUGUGCUUUGUUAGAGAAACCACCAUUCACAUCUGCCAACCAUGACUAGAGGAAAGGGGAAGUGCUAGAGCAGGUCAGCAAGUCCCAUGCAAAAGGGAUUUGAGUCAGCCUGGGUCAAGCAAGGGUGUAGAGCUUAACCUGAGAGCUAAGGGGAGGACGGAAAGCAAAGGAAAGUGAGUCACAGAGGCACGGCAGAUCUGGAAGGGACGGAGAAGGCCUGGCGACUGAGGCUGGAGAACCAGGCGGGGUGGAAUUCAAAUGGAAGCAGAUUGAGAACCAGACACUGGGGUCAUGAUCAAAUCAUCUAAGCAUCAGGGGGUUGCAAUCUAUGGACAAGUAGGAGUAGGGAUGUGGUUUGGGCUGGUGGGACAGUUUUAAGGACCAGAAAAAAGAGGAAAAAGGUGGUACUUUUAGAGACCAUCUUCCUACUGUAAUACAGGAGAGUUUUAGUUUGACUUUCUUGCCCUGAUUUAUCACAAGAUCAGUUCGGUGCUUGCAUGGAAGGGAUGCAUACGCUUGCUGUUGAUCUAAAAAGAAGUCAGGUUUAGAUGAAGUCUUUGAAGGGGCCUUUGUCAAGCUGAGGACUGACCAUGGGGAGGUCCCAUUGGGAAGCUUAGGGGAGCGCCACCAGGGCUACUUGUCUGGGUUACCACCCAAGAGGAUUUGUGGCUUGGGGUUCUAUUAAGACAAACUGACAAUUAUAGGCCCAACAGACACUUCAUUCUCUUCCUCUUCUUACUUCAAGCAACUUAGGUAGGACAAGCAUCAACCCACAUCGCUUCCUCUGGACCUCUAUCCUUCAUCUCUCUCAAGGAGGUGACUUGAUCCACUUUUCCCCCAAACAAGCGCCCAAUGGUGAGCUUUAGACCCCUCCCCCAGGGCCAGUAUCACACAGAACUCCCUAGACAACAUACAAGAAAAUGAAAAGGUGACAGAGCAGGCAGAGGACCGCUGGCGGGUGGAGCAGUGGUGCCCAACACAGAGGCGAUCGGGGUGUUCCUUUAUUUCCCUCAGAGAGGCAACCCACAUCAUUUGAAAGGCAUUUUGGGGGAUGUGAUCUGUCUUCAUGAGAUCAUGGGUAUUAUUGCUGUCCUAGCUCAGGGGCCAGCAAUUCCAUUUUAAAAUCCUGCUGUGAGUCUCCAAAAAACAUUUCCUAAGUUACAUAUAAAAGUAAGUCAUAAAAAAAUGCAACUUGCUCCUAUUUCUAUGUUUAGCCUCCAGUUCAUUAAACCUCACCCUCUGGGCUAGCAGCCCACAAAUAUCUCAUAGCUCUUAUUUAAAAUGUGUCAUGAUCUGAUGGAUUUGUUUGUUUAUUUCUUUGCCUUUCCCACUGCCUUUACUGUAAGAUCCGCUGUUUGCUCGCUAUUUUAUCUGAUGCAUGUGGCACCAAACCUGGGACACAGUAGUGAAUCGAUAAAAAGGUGUGGAAUAAAUGAAUGAAUGAAAAUCUUGCUCGGGUAAGCUUCCUGUCUUCAAUGGAUGAGUCAAAUCUUUGGAGCAGAAAAGGCACUUAGAACUAUCAAUGUCUCCACUAAAUUUUUAUCGAGCACUAAAGCUUGUUUUUAAUACUUCCCUUUGUGGGUCCUGCUGAAGAGUCCCUGAAGUCCUACAGGAAGCAUCAGGAGAGGGGACCAGGAAAGGAGCCAUUUCUGCUGACUCCCAUCAUGGUCGGCCUGUAGGGUUUAGUUACAGCAGAUACCAUAGUCAUCUCACCAGCUCCAAGAAGCAGAGAGUGAAUUGUAAAUCACGUUUGUGUUCUGGGACCCUGGUUGAAAGUAAGAGAAAGGAGCCGUGUCUUUCCAACUCUCCAGGGAUCUCAAACUGCCCAUUUUUUAAUUGCUGUAUGUCAUGAUGGUCCCAGAGGAGAUUCAUCCUGAAACAGGUGGGCCCUGGCUGCAUGAACACUACCCUGGCUUUCAGAGGUGAGAUCCUUAGACCAUUUUCCCUGCUAAGAGGUUAAGCAAACUAGAGUGUCUGGUGAAGAUGGGAGGAGGGAGGGAGUGAAGGAAGGCUUCAGAUAGAUACCAGCCAACCAAGGCUUUGAAGACCAUGGUAUCAUUACUCAUUACUCAUUUACCACAAAGAGAAAGAGCAGAAGAACAGGGUCAAGCCGGUAGUGGAAGGGAGUGGGUAGGGAUGUCCAGUAUGUGGAAGAAUCAUUGCAAAGAAUGGCAACUUAGGUCUCUGGAAGGUGGGCUGGGCUGCUGGAACGUGCAGGGCAAGAAACAUUAGUCCUGCUCUCAUUUCUCCAACGUCUCUCCCCCUCUGUGGGUGCUUUCAGUGACUGAGAUUCCCUCGGACACAUCCUGGCAAGCCCAAGUGGUGACAGAAAGGAAGGGAGAAAACUGGGAAACGUUUCAAGGGCUUCUUCCCCUGUGUUCCCUUGUAAUCUGGUUGUAGAGAUAAAGAUCAGUGGUGGGGAGGAUUUCUGACUGCAACCCUUUCGCGGCCUCAGCCUCCUCUUCUCUUUGCUUAAAUCAUAAAAUCAUGCAUGGUUUUUAUUAACUUCCCAGCAUGGAUCCUGCUCAUUUGAUGAUUCAUUAUAAGGAGAACGGAAAAAUGUUAGGAGAGAUUUUCAGCUAAUGAGUAAAAUGUGUGGGACAGCCCCUGUCCAGGCCCUUGCUGUCUUGAGGGCUACUGUCCUCCAGCCCUGGGUCUCUGGCCCAGUGUGGAAAGGAUGCCCUACUUGCCCAGGGGCUGCACUCUUGCAGAGGAGCAGACUGCCCUGGGCUGGACUCAGAGUUGCAAAGAACACUGGGAAGGAGGGAGACUGUGCGUGCUUGGAGAGCCAGUUCUAUGAUGGGCACUCCAAGUUGCUAGUUCAAAUCCUACCUGAGUGGGAAUGGAGAGAGCAGGGGAUACUGAUUGAGGAUGCUUGCUCAUUUCUACAGAAGGGAGGUCUCCACGGAGGUCCAGUUUCCAGGACCCGGUGUUGUUUCACUGUCUUCACACCUGUAACUAAUCAGUCAUCUGGCACAAAACCCAAUGGGCCCAUUCCUCCAAGAUGAGGCUAUCCCCUUCCUGCAGCGGAAGACAGAUCUAGGGCAGGGCUGAUCUCAGAGGGCCCUUUCUUGGAUGACUUCUCUUUUCUGUCUAUAUCCUCUCCCAAGGUGAUCUCAUCCAGCCUUAUGUCUUUAAACACCAACACCCAAAUUUAUAUCUACAGUCCUGACUUCUCUUUUGAAGUCAGCCUGAUUAUGUCCAACUACCUCCUUAUCAUCUCCAUUUGGAAUAUCUAAUAGACAUCUCACCCUAGCAAGUGCAAACAGCGUCUGGAACCUUCCAUCCACACCUCCUCUACCCACGCUCAGUUGACAAGAAUUCCAUUCCUCCAGUUGCCUCCUCUCUUUGUCUCACAAGCCACCUCCAGAUGGCACAUCCUGUUUUUCUCUGCUGCACAAUGCAUGGGUUCUCACCAUCUCCGCUGCGAUUGCCCUGGUUGGAGACACCACUACCUCUUGCCUGUACCACUGUCGUGAGGUCCUAAUGGUCUUCUUCUGCACCGACUCCUGUUCUGUGUCUUCUUACCAUGCUGCCUAUGUGACUCUUAAAUUUUAGUCAGAUUGUUUCAUUCUUUCCAUUCAAAAAAAACCCCUCCUGUGCCUCCCAUAAUCCUCAGAGGAAAAGCCAAACCCUGACUGUGGCCUCCAGGCUCCUAUGACGGGCUGGCGCCAUUCCCUCUCUGACUUCCCCUCCCGCUGAUCUGGCCUUGGCUUCCAUCUUCCCACCACACUGGCUCCUGGCUCUUCUCCAGAUUCUCACACACUCAACCCCUCCUUUCCUUCAGGUUUCUCGCUGCUGGGUGAGGCCUUUCCUGACACCCUCCAUGCAACAGCAAAGCCUUGCCCCUGGAAUCUGCUGUCCCUUGCCACCAGGAGGACUCCCCCCGGCAUUGGCUAGUUCCGCUGUGUAUUCUUUCAUGUGACCGUUGGUCAGGUGUGGACACAAGAAGAGACACAGGAAAGGUCCAGGAAAACAGAUUUAUUAACCUCACAGGACUUAGAGGCAAGAGGCACAGCAUAACAAACAGGGCCACAUAGUAAAGCACCAGGGUGGUCGGCAGCAAGGGGAAGCAGGAAACCAGAGCCUUUGUUGGGGUUCCCAUGGGAAAACCAAGGCAGGGCAGGGUCCACAGUUCAGGGUUGGCCAGGCUGAAUAAUUUUUUUGCAGGCUCCAAGCUCAUUGGAGUGGACCCCAGUUGCCUGGUACCUGGUCCUGGGAUGACUAAGGAUAUUGCCUUUUGGGGUGUCUGGGCCAAAUAGAGGAGGUGUAGCUCUGGAUUUCUUGGUUCACGUAUCAAAGACAUGUCCCUGGCUGGGUCCUUUAUUGUCUCUAAGAAUCAGCCAGCCCUGGGACAGACAGUCUGUCCUCAACUAGAAAUAGUCUUUUAAAACAAAAAUCUCCAAAUUUAAAAAUAUUUGCAAUAAGUGUAUUUCCUAUCUCUACUAUAAAUUCCAUGAGAACAGGGUCUUUUUCUCUUUUGUUCACCUCUCUAUCAACAGUGCCUAGAAUACUGCCCAAGAUACAGUAGGUGUUUAAUAAAUGUUCAUCAAAUGAGUGAGUAGAUUUUGAAUUCUCUGCACCCUCUGAUCCCACGAUCAGAAUAGAUCUUGAACCUACCAUUCCAGUUUCCUUAACCAUGAAGGGAAGGAGGAAGGUUUAAUGGUUUAAUCUGAAAAAAAAAAAAGAUUUUUUAAAAUGAUUUUACAAGGAAGACAUUGAAUUUUUAGAUUAAAAAAGAAAUCUGUUAAUGGUGGCACCUGCCUGUAAUCCCAGUGGUUUGGGACCUGAGGCAGGAGGAUCACAAGUUCAAAGCCAGCCUCAGAACUUAGCAAGGGGGACUGGUAAGUGAAUCAGUGGUUAAGUGUUCCUGGGUUCAAUCCCAAGUACCAAAAACAAGUGAAUGGAAAAAAAAAAGUCUGUUGAAAUCCAUUAUUAUUAUUAUUAUUCAUUUUGACUGACACAUUUGGUGAGAACAAGUUUACGUACCUGGGAAAUUUGGAUGGGGUAGCAGUGUCAGAAGCAGGGAGGGAGAAACACAUCACUUAUUUAAAGGAGCAUUCAUUUAUUUAAACUUUUUUUCCUUUAAGUGGAGCAUACUGUAUGAAAAAAGAGCAUGGAAUCUCUUAAGGGAACUAUUGAUGAAUUCUUGCAAAGUCAACACACCCAGGUCCAGAUCACCCAGGUCAAGAAAUGGAAUGUUACCAACACCCAGCGCUCUGUCCUCGCGCCUCACUUCUGCUUCCUCCUUCCUCCUGAAAGGGACCACCAGGUGAAUUGUGACACCACAGAUUAAUUUUGCUUGAUUUUGAACUUUAUAUGAAUGGAAUCAGACCAACAUGUGUUCUUUUGUAACUGGCUUCUUUCAUUCCACGUUAUAUUGAGAGACUCAUCAAGAUCGUAGGUAGCAGUGGUUGAUCCAUUUUCAUUGCACCCUGUAUUCUACCCUAUGAAUAUGCCACCAUUAAUACAUAGGCUCUACUUCUGAUGGACAUUUGGGUUGUUUCUAUCUGGGGAUAUGGUGAAUAUUGCUGCAGUGCAUGUCUUUGAGGAAUAUAUGUUUUCAUUUCUGCCAGAUGCAUGCCCAGGAAUGGACUUGACAGAUUUUACACACACUCUGUUUAGGUUUAAUAGAUAAUGCUGAAUUUUGUCCCAAAUGACUGUACCCUGUUAAAUUCUCUCCAUCAAUGCAUCCCUGUUGCUCCCUCUCCUUGCCAACCUUUAGUAUAUUGUGUUAAUUUGUGUUUGUGGGUGUUCAGUAACAUCUCAAUAUCUUUGUAUUUCCCUGAUGACUGACGAGAGUGAACACCUUUUCAUGUGUUCCUUGACCAUUUUAUUUUCAUGAGGUGCCUAUUGAGAUCUUUUUGCCUAUGUGUUUUCAACCGGGCUAUGUCUUCUUUUGCAGGAGUUCUUUAUGUAUUCAGAAUGUGAUUCCUUUUUUUGUGCUGUGUCUUUUCUUGUUGUAACUUGUCCUUUUUUUAACCUUCUUAAUGGUAAAAAAAAUUUAAAGGAAUUUAAUUUAUAAAUAUUCUUUGUGGCUAGUACUUUUGUGUUCUAUUUAGUAGUAUUUGCCUACCUCAAGGUCAAGAAGGUAUUCUCCUCUAUUUUCCUUUUCCACCCACUCAUUCCUCUUCCCCUCUCUAUCCUAAAGCACCCAGUAUUUCCAUCAGUCUUUCAUCUAAGUCUAAAGAGGUCCAGUGCUGCUGAGCUUCAGAGAUGAAGCACAUUCAUGGUGGUCUUACUGGGGACUCCUCUAUAUUAUCUUCUAAGAAGCUUUUAUAUUUAAACUACGGACAAUUCCGAAGUAUUUUUAAUUAAUUAUUUUUUUUUUUGGCUAUGGUACGUGAUGGGGGUUGAAUUUUAUUCUUGUUUUUCAAGUCCGGUGUCCAUUUGGCCCAGCACCAUCUGUUGAUAAGAUGGUUCUUUCCCCAGUAUUCUGUGGUGCUACCUUUUUCAUAAAUCAAGUGCUUAUACAUGUAUGAGUCUGUUCAUGGAUUCUUUCUGUUCCAUUGGUUUCUUUGCUUAUAUCAAUGUCACACUGUCUUAAUUACUGUGGCUUUAUGAUAAGCCUUGAUAUCUGCUCAUAUAAAUUCUUUGGCUUUGUUCUUCCUUUAGGUUUUCUUGGUUAUGCUCUGCGCUUUGUAUCAUGACCUUGCUUUUAUAUGACAUGGAAAGCAUCUUUAAAAGUGAAAUGUCUUCCCAUUUUGGAGAGCCUUCCCAUCAUCCUAGCCACCAACUCUGGGCUGACAUCAUGAAGUCACCCUAUACCACAUUCUACAAGUUGCCUCUAGGUGGUCCUCAUUGCCACAGGAGGCACUGCCUGGGCCAGGUCCUUCCAUCAUCUCCAGCUGCCACUUUCUUAUGUGCAGCAGAUCAGAUCCGUGCUCCCCAAUAUCCUGCAAGUUUCGACUACUAAGACUGCCUCCAUUUUUAUAGGAAUACAGUAUAUUGUGCUCUGACCAUUUCACCAGGCGUGGAGUUAAGUGUUUUGCAUGCACUACCUUAUUUAAUCUUUGCCACUAUCCUAAGAAGUAAGGACCCUUUUUCUGACCUUUUAAGGUCGGAACCCUAAUUUCCCCUUUCAUUUUUUUCUUCUUUUAACUUCAAAGUCUCCACAGAACAUAACUUUUCUGAGCUAGAAGGGACCUGAGGGACAUUUGAUUUGACAAAUGAGGAUGAAUGAUAACAGAGGGAAAUGACUUACUCAGGGCCCUCUCUGCUGGUUAGUGGAAGAGAAAGCAUUAGACCUCAGCUCUCUGGACUCCGUGACACUUUGAAUCUCCUAUACGUGUUUCACGGUUGCAGCACCUAGCAGACAGCCCCGCAGCUUCCUCAUUUACUUCCUUCCUGAGUCCAGAAUUUAAACAGAAUUUCCUCAAAGACUUGUCUAUGAUGUUAGCUCUUUCCACUUCCUCAUCUCCUUUUCCCUCCUCUACCCACUCUGGUCUUUCUUCCUCAAUGACACUGAACUUACCCAGGCCACCCACGACUUCCAUGUUGGCAACUGUUACAGUCUGGAUCCAAGUGUCUCCCAAAGGCUCACAUGGGAAAUAUCAGAAGUUAAAGGCUUUGUCCACACUGUGGCACUAUUGAGGGCUGUGGAUCCUUUGGGAGGUGGGACCUAGUGGAAGGAAGUGAGGUCAUCAGGGUGUGCCCCUGAAGGGGAUAUUGGGGACCCCACUGUUUCCUAUCUCUCUUUGCUUUCCAGUUGCCAUGAGGUGAGCAGCUUUGCUCUCUACUGUGUGCCCCCCCACCAUGAUGUUUUGCUUUGCCACAGGUCCCAAGUGACAAAGCCAAGUGACUGUGAACCCAAACCUGAAACUGUGAACCAAAAUAAAUCUUUCUUCCUCUUAAGUUAAUAUCUCAAGUAUAGACUUUUUGGGGUCUCUCUCUCUCCCCCCCCCCCAUAACUUUGACACCCCUGUCAUGUCCCCAUCUGUUUUGGGACUCUCUCUCCUUCUUUUUUCUCUAUGAUCACACCCCCUCAACUUUUCUUCUACCUUGUUGACUAUUCUUUCUCAAUUCCCCUUUGCUGUGUCCAGGCCCCUCUGCCGCAGUCUGGCUGGGCACAAUCAGGAGCCACUUGUCAAAAGAAACUAACUUUAUUUUUAGAACCACACACGCCAAACAAAACAGCUCCUCAGGAAAAACCCUCAGAGCCCCAACUGCCACCACCGGCUUCCCACAAGCCUCUCUCUCAACCACAAGCCUCCCCACCUCCCCCCAUCCUCCUGCUCUUGAGGCCGAUUGGCUGGGUUGCGUGGGCGGAGCCAAAAAAGUCCCCCAAUGAGCAGCUCCAUGGUCUGAAAGGGCAGGGAAACAGCCCAAUGAGCAUCACCACAGAGGAGCCAAUCAGCUAGAUGUUGCUGGGGCUGCUGUGAGCCAAUCAUCAGCUGGCAGUCUGAAAGGUCAGGGAAACAGCUCAAUGAGCAUCUCCAAUGACCAUCACUGCAGAGGAGCCAAUCAGCUAGAUGUUGCUGGGGCCACUGUGAGCCGGCAGCUGGAAGUUUGCUGGCAGCUGGAAGUUUGCUGGGGCCCCUUCGGCUGUGGCUCUCAACA
rnacentral:lncRNA from 1 species